rnacentral:piRNA from 1 species
UACCUGUUACAGGGUAUGGCUGU